AAAUUGGUAGCAAUUAUUGGAUGGCUUGGGCAUCUCCUGUGUCUGCAGAUGUCAAACCUCCUGUUCGGAGCUUUACACUAAUAAUUGUCUAUUUAGCUUUGGCCGUUGCUAGUGCCUUUUCUGUCCUUGCCAGAGCCAUGCUUCUUAAUACAGCUGGAUACAAAACAGCCACUCUUUUCUUCAAAAAGAUGCAUUCAUGCAUUUUCCGUGCUCCUAUGUCAUUCUUUGAUUCCACACCAAGCGGAAGAAUCCUAAACAGAGUUAGUAUCUAAUGUUUUCUUGUGUGAAUGUCAAACAUUCCAUUUAUCUUAUUUUUUUGGCAUUCCUCCCUUGUUUCUGAAGGAUUCUAUUAUUUUCCUGCCUCUUUUAGGCUUCUACAGAUCAAAGUGCAGUGGAUAUGAGCAUUCCGUAUCAAGUUGGUGCAUUCGCCUUUUCAGUUAUCCAGCUCCUUGGUAUCAUUGCAGUCAUGUCUCAAGUUGCUUGGCAGAUCUUUAUCAUUUUUAUCCCUGUGGUUGCUACCUGUAUUUGGUACCAGGUAAUUCUUGUCCCCUCAUAUAAUAUGUUGUCUGUCAAUUUGUGGUUAUAGAAUGUAUGACCUCAUAGACUUGCAAUAUAUAUUGUAAAUCUCAAAGUCGUUCGAGAAAACAUAAAACCUUGCAUAAUACUUGGACAUAGGAAUUCUCAUAAACUUGUAAUUUUUCAGCAAUAUUACAUAUCUUCUGCACGAGAACUUGCACGAUUGGUUGGAGUAUGCAAAGCUCCAGUGAUACAGCAUUUUGCUGAAACAAUUUUAGGAGCAACAACUAUCAGGAGCUUUGAUCAAGAAUCAAGAUUCCAAGAGGCAAACAUGAUACUAAUGGAUGCAUUUUCUCGUCCAAAAUUUCAUGUUGCUGGUGCAAUGGAAUGGCUGUGCUUCCGCCUGGACAUGUUGUCUUCCAUUACUUUUGCCUUCUCUUUGUUCUUUUUGAUUUCUAUACCAGAGGGAAUUAUUGAUCCUGGUAAGUGAUUGUAGAUUGGAAUCUUUAUUGACUACCAUGUCAUUGUAGAUAACAGAUGUUAAAGGAGAAUGACUGAAAGUGUUUUCGUGUUUUCUUUUGCUUAGCCAUUGCGGGUUUAGCUGUGACGUAUGGACUCAAUCUAAAUAUAUUGCAAGCUUGGGUAGUAUGGAAUAUUUGCAAUAUGGAGAAUAAAAUUAUAUCUGUUGAGAGACUGCUUCAGUACAGUAGUAUUCCUAGUGAGCCUGCCCUUGUGAUAGAAACUAACCGUCCGGACCGUUCUUGGCCAUCUCAUGGAGAAGUUAAUAUUCAUGAUCUGCAGGUAAUGCAGUUAUGCAGUGUUUAUGACUCUAAGUUGUUAUGUGUUGUUUUUGAAAUAAAUGAUGAUGUUCGAUGUAGGUGCGGUAUGCUCCACACAUGCCACUCGUCUUGCGAGGUAUGACAUGCACAUUACCAGGAGGGUUGAAAACUGGCAUUGUAGGGAGAACAGGGAGUGGUAAAACAACUCUCAUACAAACACUUUUCCGCAUAGUUGAACCUGCAGCAGGUCAGAUUAUAAUUGAUGGCGUUAAUAUCUCAUCAAUUGGACUGCAUGAUUUGCGGUCAAGACUCAGCAUCAUCCCUCAGGAUCCUACCAUGUUUGAAGGGACUAUACGGAGUAAUUUGGAUCCUCUUGAAGAGCACUCAGACGAACAGAUUUGGGAGGUGGGUUCAUUUCAUUUUGAUUACGAGAGAAAAGCUUUUCUGGUCUGUACCAUUUAUUUUCGAAUAAAAUGCUGUGUUUAUGAUUGGUAUUUGAAGUGUGAUAUGUAUUGAUGUAUGUUUUGAUUUUUUAAGGCAGUGGAUAAGUGCCAACUUGGGGAUGGAGUUAGAAAGAAGGAAGGCGGGCUAGAUUCUUCAGGUCUGAUCUUCUAUCAUAUAACAUACAAGUCGGAUGUCAUGCAAGUUGUUUAAAAUCUACUACUAAAUUCAACUGUUUAAAGAAAUGUUGAAGUAUUAUAACAUUGCUUCCGCAGUUACCGAGAAUGGAGAGAAUUGGAGCAUGGGACAGAGGCAGCUGGUCUGUCUCGGGCGUGUGCUGCUCAAGAAAAGUAAGAUCCUAGUGCUUGAUGAAGCUACGGCAUCAGUUGAUACAGCUACCGAUAAUCUGAUUCAGACAACCUUAAGGGAGCACUUUUCUGACUGUACAGUCAUAACAAUUGCACACCGGAUCACUUCUGUUCUUGACAGUGAUCUGGUUCUGCUUCUAAGCCACGGUUAGCACGGUUGUGUUAUCUAUCAUUUGCUUGUAGGAUCCUUUGAACUUCAUUUCGUUUAAAACUAUGUUUAACUGUCGCAGGACUUGUCGAAGAAUACGAUUCUCCCGCUAGAUUGCUGGAAAACAAGUCUUCAGCUUUCGCACAGCUUGUAGCCGAGUAUACUGUGAGAUCAAAUUCAAGCCUGGAGAAGUUCGACUGAAUUAGAUGAUCACGAAAAAUAUAUGUUUGGUACUCAUUGGGAAUGUUUUGUACAAGACAAGCCUAGUAGUGUUCUUGGCUUCAAUAAACACUAGUUGUAUAUUUUCCUUUUCUCUCUUCUAUCAGUCUGCCAUUAUUAAGUUACAAAGAAUUUUUAAGACAUAUGUUCGGGCAAUUAGACGUUAACAAAAUUAAUGUAAAAAAAUUGUCAAAAACACGUGCGAAGAAAAAAAGUUUAUUAAUAUAAAGUCAACAAUUGGGUGGUGGGCCUUCACACGUCCAUUAAUGGGGCCCAUUUCAAAAAGAGAGUGUCCAGAUGAGUAUCCCCCAAGUUUUCGUUGUGAGCAAUGAGCAUACAAGUCGAAGCAAAACUGUGGGGUUUCAGUACGGCGCCGUUUUAAUUGUCUCUUUCCGGUUUUUGGGCAGACGGGCUGGAUUUGAGUCUUCGGUUUGGUUCACCGCCAGGUGUCAAUACAAUGACGGUUGGAAAUUCCAACGGUUUUUUGUUAGAGUUUCCCGGGUUUUUUUUUGUUCCUACUAAUUUACUAUUUUGUGGUUUGAGAAAUAUUUUAAAAUUGUUUUAAAUUUAUUUAUAAUAAAUAAAAAAGACCUUUGAUACCCACAAUUAUUAUUGUUUUGAGUUAUUUUCAAAUUAACCAACGAAAAUAAUUUUUGCUAAAAAGGGUCAUUAAUAUUUUUUAAUGAGUAAAAAGGGUCAUUAGGUUUAAAAUAAUAAUAAAAGAAUAUUUUUUUAUUUAUUUCUAAAAAUUAUUAAAAUAAUUAAAACUUAGCAACUUUUAACAGGUUCAUAGGAUCAGAUUAUGAUAAUCUUCAUGGAUAAAUGAAAGAAAAAUUAAUUCUUGAAUUAAAAAACAAAGGUUUGUUUUUUUCUUUGUUGAUAAUGCAAAAGUUCUGGUAAAAAUUUCAUUGCAAAAGAGGAGUUUUUUUGGGUUAAUUUCUAUUUCCCUCACUACAGAAUCACUCUCACUCUCUAUAUCUCUUCAGCUGUGUGUCUCUUAUGUUUUGUCUCUCUCUCUCUUUCAAAGAUCAAAACUUUCUCGGAAAGCCUCCAAGUUUUUUGUUUUUGGUCUCUCUUUUGAGGCUUAAGCCUCCCUUCCCUUUGCUCUCAUGCCGUCUCUCAAGUCUUGGUCUCCACGCAUAUCCCUUCCCCAAGUAAUCUUCCUUUGACUCUCUUCUUUUGUGUCCCUGUCUUGACUGUAACACUCCUUUAAGUCUCGUUUAUAUAUAAACUCAAAAACAAGCAAAAGUAUCUUCCAACAACACUGUAGUCCAAAAUUUUUCUUGAGUAAAAAGUCCAUAAAGAAUGAAACUUUUUGCUUCAGAAUCAUCUUUGCUAAUGAGUUCAGCUUCUAGUUUUCAUUUUCUCCUAAAACCCAUGUUUCUUCAUGGGCUUUCUGCUUCAUUGCACCUACUUUUAUUGCUUUUCUUGCUAGUCUUAUGGUUUGUGGACAGAGUUAAAGAAGCUGGCAGGGAAGGAUCGAAGGAAAGGAUAAGGCAAAGGAAGGUUUUAUGGUAUAAGCAAACUUUAGCUUGUUGUUUUAUUGUUUCAGCUUUCAACACUGUCUUGUGUUUGUUAAGUUAUUUUUAUUGGUAUAGAAAUGGUUGGUCUGAGGAUAAGUUAGUGACUCUUUCUGAUUAUGUGGUAAAAACACUUGCUUGGGGUGCAACGUGUGUUUAUUUGCAUUAUCAGUUCUCCCAUUCUGGUGAACAAAAGAAGUUCCCAUUUUUAUUGAGAAUUUGGUGGGGUUUUUAUUUUUCCAUUUCUUGUUAUUGUCUUGUUAUAGACGUUGUUCGUUACAAAGAACAUGUUUCUUUCCCAAGUCAGUAUUUAGUAUCCGAUGUUUUUUCUGUUAUUACUGGUUUGUUCCUAUGUAUUGUGGGGUUUUUUGGAGGAACUGAAGGUGAAGAUACCCUCCUUGAGGAGCCCCUUUUGAAUGGAGAUUCUAGUGUAGGUAAUGGUGUAGAGUUGAGUAAGAAAAAAAGAGGUGAUACUGUAACCCCAUAUUCAAAUGCUGGUAUUUUCAGCAUUCUUACAUUUUCUUGGAUGGGGCCUCUUAUUGCUGCUGGCAGUAAAAAACCUUUAGACCUUGAGGAUGUUCCUCAGCUAGAUAGCAGUGAUAGUGUUGUUGGCGCUUUUCCAAAUUUUAGAAACAGGCUCGAGUCAGCUGACAGUGAGGGGAGUGGAGUUACCGCGUUUAAGCUGGUGAAGGCACUGUUCUUCUCAGCUUGGAAAGAUAUUCUUUGGACAGCUUUGUUAGCGUUUAUGUACACUGUGGCUUCAUAUGUUGGCCCAUAUCUCAUUGACACUUUUGUUCAGUACCUGAAUGGGCAGCGGGAGUUUAAAAAUGAGGGGUAUCUUCUGGUUAUGGCUUUCUUUGUUGCAAAGCUAGUAGAGUGCUUAUCUCAGAGGCGCUGGUAUUUUAAGUUGCAGCAAGUAGGAAUUAGGCUGAGAGCAGUACUGGUAGCAAUGAUUUAUAACAAGGGUCUAACCCUUUCGUGCCAGUCAAAGCAGAGCCACACCAGUGGGGAGAUCAUCAAUUUCAUGACUGUCGAUGCAGAGAGGGUGGGUGAGUUUAUUUGGUACAUGCAUGAUCCAUGGAAGGUAGUUUUGCAAGUUGCUUUGGCGUUGUUGAUCUUGUAUAAAAAUCUUGGACUAGCAUUCAUUGCAACUUUUGUUGCAACAGUGCUUGUUAUGUUGGCAAAUAUUCCUUUGGGGAAAAUGCUAGAAAAGUUUCAGGAUAAGUUGAUGGAAGCUAAAGAUAAAAGGAUGAAGGCAACAUCAGAAAAUUUGAGGAACAUGAGAAUUCUCAAACUUCAAGGGUGGGAAAUGAAGUUUCUGUCAAAGAUUAUUGGGCUCAGGAAUGUUGAGGAAGAAUGGUUAAAAAGAUUUGUUUAUACAAGUGGCAUCACUGGUUUUGUUUUCUAUGUUGCACCCACAUUUGUGUCUGUAGCCACUUUUGGUGCUUGUAUUCUUUUAGGAGUCCCACUUGAAUCAGGGAAGAUCCUAUCUGCACUUGCAACAUUCAGGAUUCUUCAAGAGCCAAUCUACAGUCUUCCUGACACAAUUUCAAUGAUAGCUCAGACAAAGGUGUCUCUUGAUAGAAUUGCUUCCUUCCUUCGCCUUGAUGACUUGCAGCCUGAUGUUAUAUGGAGGCUUCCAAAAGGUAGUUCUGAUACUGCAAUUGAGAUUGUUGAUGCGAAUUUCUCUUGGGAUUUCUCUUCUGCUACUGGAACGCUAAAAGACAUAAAUUUGAAAGUUUUCCAUGGUAUGAGGGUUGCUGUUUGUGGUACAGUUGGCUCUGGCAAGUCGAGUUUGCUUUCCUGUAUUUUGGGGGAAUUACCCAAGAUAUCUGGAACUCUUAAAUUGUGUGGUACAAAGGCCUAUGUUGCUCAGUCGCCUUGGAUACAAAGUGGCAAGAUUGAAGAGAACAUAUUGUUUGGCAAGGAGAUGGAUAGGGAGAGGUAUGACAGAGUGCUUGAAGCUUGUAGCCUCAAUAAAGAUCUUGAAAUCCUCUCAUUUGGUGAUCAGACCAUUAUAGGUGAGAGGGGAAUCAAUUUGAGCGGUGGGCAGAAGCAAAGAGUACAGAUUGCACGUGCUUUAUACCAAGAUGCUGAUAUCUAUCUCUUUGACGAUCCAUUCAGCGCUGUGGAUGCGCACACAGGAUCUCAUUUAUUUAAGGUAACAUCUUUUCUUCUCUGAUACGAUGGCAUGUAGUUUAAAAGUUACUUUGAAUCUAUGCAGAAAGCUAUACUGCUCUAUCUACGGUAAUUAAUUGAACUACUAACAUUUGCACUUUUGUCAGCUGCUUAUUUGAGCUUUCUUCUUCAGUUGGUGCUUUGCCUGAGUAAUUGUUUAAUCUUUGAAUGAUAGGAAGUUUUACUAGGCAUUUUGAGUUCAAAAACAGUGAUUUAUGUCACUCAUCAAGUUGAGUUUUUACCAGCUGCUGAUCUAAUCUUGGUAAGCUAUUUACAUUUUCAGUGUUUUUAAUCCUACUCCUUGGAGGGUAGGCAAUAAUAUAACUACUGGAUUCAACUUGUACAUUUUUGUUAGGUCAUGAAAGAUGGCAGGAUUACACAAGCUGGAAAGUAUAAUGACAUUUUCAAUUCAGGAACUGACUUUAUGGAACUUGUGGGUGCACAUAAGAAAGCUUUGUCAGCCCUUGAUACUGUUGAUGCAGGAUCUGUUUCUGAAAAAAAAAUCAGUGAGGGAGAUGGUACUACGGGAUGUGCUAAUAGGAAAGUGCAGAAAGAAGAAAAGCAAGGUAAUGGGAGUGGUAAAGUAGAUGAUGUCGGGCCAAAAGGACAGCUUGUUCAAGAAGAAGAGCGAGAAAAAGGAAAAGUUGGGUUUUCAGUCUACUGGAAGUAUAUCACAACAGCAUAUGGGGGAGCUCUUGUGCCAUUAAUAUUGCUUGCGCAGAUUGUCUUUCAGAUUUUUCAAAUUGGUAGCAAUUAUUGGAUGGCUUGGGCAUCUUCCGUGUCUGCAGAUGUCAAACCUCCAGUUGGGAGCUUUACACUAAUAAUUGUCUAUUUAGCUUUGGCCAUUGCUAGUGCCUUUUCUGUCCUUGCCAGAGCCAUGCUUCUUCGUACAGCUGGAUACAAAACAGCCACUCUUCUCUUCAAAAAGAUGCAUUUUUGCAUUUUCC
rnacentral:lncRNA from 1 species